AACAAUAACAAAAAGAAUUUAAUAUUGUUACUCAUUGUGUUAUAUUUAAAGUUUUCUAUAAUCAUGCCACCUCUAUUUAUUGAUUGAAGAUAGAAAGUUAGAUUAGGUCAAGUUAGCUUGUCUCGGGUGGAGUUUGGCCUAGCUUUUAAGUAGGUGGUUGAAUUUAAAAUGGGAAUGGUUGCAAGAGAGUGCAGACUGAGGAAGACAUAUAUUGCUCUCUAAUGGCGGGAACUAAGCAAGAGAAACCCAACACUCCACUUCUGCAUCGAUCAAUGCAAACACAAAAGAGUUCAAGAGUUGGACUUAAAUCCAUGCAAGCAAAUAAAACAAUCCCCAAAAAACAAAAGAAAGGACUUUGAAACCCAUCCCAUUUCUGAAAACUCGAGAUAAACUAACCCAGAAGGCCAAAUUAUCACUACAUGCGAGGGCAUUAAGCUAACCAAGAAAACAACUCCUGUCUAUAGGAUCUCAAUUCAACAGCAUCAUUCAAUUUUAUUGAUCUCAUCUGAAAGUAACAGCAACUAAAAACAAGAAAUGAAACUAAAGAGACUGAAAGAACAACCAAAUAAACACUAUCAAAUUCUACAAGGCAAAGACCAAGCAACUUGAAAAAUAAAACCCAUCAAGAGAAGUGAAAAACAUGGCCAAAAGUUUAUAACUUCAAGCAAAAUGACAGAAAACAAAGAGUAGUACUAAGAGAGAGAGGGCUUACUUGAAUAUAAUUUAGGUUAUUUUAUUUUAUUUUAUUUGGUAUCACUUGAAUUGCCCCAAAAAACUUGAGAUAAUUACCCAGAUUAUCUGUUCUCAGUUUUUUUAAAAAAAAAUUGUCCUCCAAAUCCAAAUUGAUUUGAAUAAUUUGAGUGAUUCAGUUUUUCUUUUCUUUUUUAUCUUUGCUUGUCCCUGCUGAGAGGCAGGGGAGGAAGAAGAAUGUCUCUGGAACAAGGGGUGGAGAGCAUUUAAAACCACAAUGUCAGUAAUUAAGUUUACUGGCAUGGCAGUGACAGCAUUCAUGCAAACCCAGUUACUAGGUGAAAACACAACAGAACUGUGUUUAUCGACAAGUAAACUACAAUGACUCGACAGGAGAGCUUCAACAAGGUUUUGCAGCUAAUUUGAUAUCUAACCAAUUUUUUCUAGGUGAAAAAUACAAUUUUGAAAAGCAAAUUGUAAAGUUCAGAAGUGAGAAUUUUCUCAGCUGUCAACAAUUGCUGUUCAUUCUGUGCUGUCAAUCAAACAAUA